AUUGAACGCUGGCGGCAGGCCUAACACAUGCAAGUCGAACGAGUGGCGGACGGGUGAGUAAUGUCUGGGAAACUGCCCGAUGGAGGGGGAUAACCACUGGAAACGGUAGCUAAUACCGCAUACCAUUGGAUGUGCCCAGAUGGGAUUAGCUAGUAGGUGGGGUAACGGCCCACCUAGGCGACGAUCCCUAGCUGGUCUGAGAGGAUGACCAGCCACACUGGGACGGGGACACGGUCCAAACUCCUACGGGAGGCAGCAGUGGGGAAUAUUGCACAAUGGGCGCAAGCCAGAUGCAGCCAUUCCGCGUGUAUGAGGAAGGCCUUCGGGUUGUAAAGUACUUUCAGCGGGGAGGCGUUACUCGCAGAAGAAGCACCGGCUAACUCCGUGCCAGCAGCCGCGGUAAUUC
rnacentral:rRNA from 1 species